rnacentral:rRNA from 1 species
AAAAGCCCAGCGCUGAAUCCAUCGGCCACUGGUCGCUUGGAGUUGUAGCGUAUAGGUGCGGCUGUCCGUUCGUUUCGCGCACCCAAAGUCCCCUUGAGCGGGGCUACAGUCCGAAGAAGGUGCUAGACCUGUACGGGUGGCGAGACGAUCGGUUGGUCGCUCCUUGGAGUCGGGUUGCCUGGGAUCGCAGCCCAAAGUUGGUGGUAGACCUCAUCUAAGGCUAAAUAUGGCCACGAAACCGAUAGCAAACAAGUACCGUGAGGGAAAGUUGCAAAGAACUUUGAAGAGAGAGUUCAAGAGGGCGUGAAACCGCUGAGAUGGAAACGGAUAGAGUUGACGGAGCUCUGCUGCAUUCACCCGAUCGGCCCAGCGGUCCGACGGCUUUGACUUCCUCGAUGAGGGCAAGGCUGCUGGUAGCUGUUGGGUAUUUGAUCGGUGUAUUUGCGGCUGGUAUGCGCUGAGGGCUUUGUGAGCGCAUGUCGACGGGCGUGGAGUGGACCAUACCUUUCCGGUGUGGAACCCUUCGCGCUCUUAGGCAUGUCGCUUGUAAAGUUUUAAGUGCCGUCUCCGCUAUGGUGCAUCGGCUUUGUCGAGCUGUUGUGGCUUCAGGCUGGUCGCAUGCGACCGUCGGUCGUCGUCAAUGGCGCGCCAAAGCACAGAUGCGCCGAGAUGUGCACCUCGGUGUGAACGUUGACCACCUAUCCGACCCGUCUUGAAACACGGACCAAGGAGUUUAGCAUAUGCGCGAGUCAUUGGGUGGAAAACCUAAAGGCGUAAUGAAAGUAAAAGCCGUCUCGAUACGGCCGAUAUGGGAUCCGCAUGGCUUCCGAGUCGUGCGGCGCACCAUAGCCCCGUCCCCGUUGCUUGCAAUAGGGCGGAGGUAGAGCGCAUACGCUGAGACCCGAAAGAUGGUGAACUAUGCCUGAGCAGGAUGAAGCCAGAGGAAACUCUGGUGGAAGUCCGAAGCGGUUCUGACGUGC